rnacentral:lncRNA from 1 species
AGAAGACCUCACUGAGGCAGAAGAACUCACUGAGGCAGAAGACCUCACUGAGGCAGAAGACCUCACUGAGAGGUAGAAGACCUCACUGAGAGGUAGAAGACCUCACUGAGGUAGAAGACCGGCGAAGAUCUCAAAGAUCUCCUGGAGCAAAAAUGGCCGGAAUCCCCAAGAUCAUUCGGUGCUACAAGCAAAAACAACUCAUAAGAACAUAGUUCUGAUC